rnacentral:lncRNA from 1 species
UCAUCAACAAAGUCAUCCAAAAGAUCAGUAUUCAGCAUCCGACAUUCCUAUCCACCAGCAACAACAGUAUUCAUCAGAAAAUCGAUAUUCAACAGUUCAUCAACAGUUAGCACCAUCCAUUCCUCUAAUUCCUCUUGGAUUUGAAGAUGUGUAUAGAGGUAGGCCAGGAUGUAGAAGAAGCACGCCACCACUACAAUAACUAAAGCAAUCCAACAUCCCAGC